GGAGUGAAUAUGCGUUCGACUGUUGUCCGGGCAGCACGACGCGAGCUUGGUUGAUGCAGCAACCAUCGGACAGCGGAAUGCAGCUCGAGCAGCAAGCGUGGACGGAGGUACACUUGGGAUGGUCAUGGCGGUACAACGGCUACAGCCAGCUCGGCAUGGCUGCUCGGCGUGCUCAAACAUAGCUCGGCCAUAGUAGCAGACCGGUGCUGGCGAACAUGGUUUUCAGCGUCCUGUGACCGCCAGCCUCAACUUCACUAACGAGACCAUCCAAAUCAGUCAAAAUCAUGCCACGUCUCAGUAAAACCACCCAAAGCUGUAUCAGGGACUAAAGUUAUCUGGUUUGAAAAGUUGAGGGACUAAGUUUUGCUGGUUUUAAAGUUAAGGGACCAUUUCUAUACUUUCGAUAUAAUUGAGGGACGAAAAAUAUACUUAUCCCUUAUCUAAAAGGAAUAUACUCAGUGCUAGCAUAAUUUGAAAAGGCCAGUGUCAUGCUCUGUAGCCGAUCUUCAGUUCACAUGUGCCUAUUCGACAUCAACUUGCUUUCUGUAUAUGUCUUGCCAUGUAUCUUGGGUGCUUAUAUAAAGUUUGUAUGUAAUUACUUUAUGAAGCUUGACAGAUCAUUCGGAAGAAUAAUGCUGCAAAACAAUUAUUAGUCAUGACUACUUUUGUAUUUUAAGCUGUACCGUUCAUAACAUAUCAUUUGGAAGGAGGGAAUACAUGUCUCAGUUGACUUGAUUGAUUUGUUUGUCAGAUAAAUAGGACCCAGAAGAGAUGAGUGCUCCAUCUGGCUCUAAGGGCUCCAAGAGAUGAAGCCAUAAACAGUGACGGAGUGAACGUGGUCCCUGAAGUUUGGGCCGUUAAAGAUAAAAUCAAGCAGUUUUUAGAAACUUUUAGGAGUGGCUUAUGGGUUGGGGGGAAACCAUUGACAAAUGUGGUCUCAGUUGGAAUUGGUGCUAGCUUCUUUGGACCUCUGUUUGUGCAUGCAACUCUCCAGACUGACCUGGAAGCAGCAGAGUCCGCAAAAGGACGACAACUGUGAUUGAAUUCUUUCAUUAUUGGAGUCUUUCAUCUGUAUAUAUAACUGUAUUGAUGCAAGGUGGGAGAAGAAGCAGGUGACUGCCCUUUAUUGUGUUUUGUUAUGGUCCUCUCCUAUUUAAUGGUAGAUAUGAUGUAUAGGUUGAAGCAUGUAAUGUUCCUUUCAGUGCAUAUUUGUGCUUUACGACGUUUGAUGCACACAAAGUUGAACCUCUUAUUCCAUGUAAUACUUUACCAAAGAAGAAUUUAUUAACAUUAGUGUUUUUGCUCUUUUCAGAUUUUAGCCUGGGUAUAUAAACAUACAUGCCACACAUUGUAUUCAAUUUUCAGUGCAAGAUUAAACUAGGGGAUUAAUCAUUAUGGAAGGAAAAUGAUUGAAUAGUAAAAUGUAUAGAUUUAGUAUCAUAUCAUUUAUUUGUGAUUGCAUGAUCUUAAAUCUUAAUUGCGCAUCUCUGAAAAUAUUUUAGGCUCUUGCUCUUGGAAGACUGAUGUGAUGUUGCUUUAUAAAUAAAUGACAUGCUAACUUACCGGUUUGAUUUAGGUGUAUUUAGGUGUGUAGGCAGAGGCGGAAAAAAUAUAUCAUAAUCUCAGGUUUAGGCGUGCACAUGGCCACUGAUAACAAAAUAAGUAGGCAGAGGUGCAGUAUUGUGACUUCAGCAAGAGAAAGAGAAGUACAGUUAAUUGUUCGCAUUUUAAGCUACACUUGAACCUUGUCCUAAUAACUAGAGCUGUUGUGAUGUUGCUCUAUUAUAAGUGCCUUGCUUAAAUGCUUGGUUAGAUCAAGUGUAUAACAAAGCGAAGGCUAACUGAACCAUGCUAGAAAUAACAUUCAUGUGUUAGUCUUUUCCUCUCGCCUCUGGUUGUCUUCUUCCUCAUGGCGGUCCACGCAGCGCUCUCCUUGGGAUUAGAUUUCUCCCCGGGGAUGAAGUUGGCGUCUGAGAUCCAACGCACCUUCA